rnacentral:tRNA from 1 species
GCGGCCAUAGAUUAGCUGGGAGAUCGUCAGACUGAAGAUGUGAAGGUCGUGUGUUCGAGUCACACUGGCCGCA